CAUACCCAAAAUAACAAUACCCCUUUAACAAAAAUAAAUGGACUCGCCAACCUUCGGGUGUACUGCGCCGGCGCGGCGCACCUUGAUGACGUCAUAAGCGCGCGCCGCUCGAUCGCUCGGGUUUGCCGGCACAGCGUGUCAAUCCGAAGGCAGCUAACCAAAACAAACAAACAAACAAAACAGGGGGUGUGCAAAGACAAUGUGUGUGUAUGAAGGGUCCGGGUUAUGGAUGCUAACAGAGGGGAAGAGUGGUAUGUAAACAUGUCCAUGUGCCAUCAGAGUGUGCGUGCACUCACAGCUUCGACAGCCGGGGAAACGGGAUGGAUUAUGAGAGAUGCAUUGAUGUGUAACGUUAGUGAUGCAGUGGACAACUGUGAGGAUGAUACAAUCAACAUGUUCCUAAACUGUGAUGCAGAAACACAAUGGGAGGACCCACAACUACACUUUAAAAUCACAACUCAACCUGAAGCAACCUACAUAUGAUAUGGGAAAACAAUGGUGCGGUUUCCCUGACAGGGCUUAUCCUGGUCCCAGGCUAAAAUGCAUAUUUGAGCUACAAUAAUUUAAAAACACCUUGUACUGACAUACCUCAACAUAUAUAAGUGCCAUUGUUUUGUCACAAGAUGCGCACCAGUCUUGUUUUUUUGUAGGGUUUGUUUGUAAAAACUAAAAUGUCCUAAUAUAAUUAAAUCCUAAACCCUGUCCGAGAAACUGCUUCAAUGUGUUGAGCUGGCACAAAUGUACAUACUGUAUCUCUGCUGAGAAACAACCAUCUUUGUGUCAGCUUUACACAGGGUUGAUAUUGCAUCCAUUACACAGUCGCCAAGCACUUUACCAGUACAUACACCAACAGCUUCCAGAUAAACACUUGGGUUCAGCUCCUGAUGACUCUAAUAAAGCUGUGUCUUAAUUUAUUGCAGGGUGGUCUUGCUUUACCUGUUGUAAAGUUACAUUAAACCUUCAUGUGAUCAGAUGUCAUGCAGUGAUAUUAAACAUUUACAGUGUGAUCAGAUGUUGUGCAUUUAUAUUAAACCUUUACAAUGUGAUCAGAUGUUGUGCAUUUAUAUUAAACCUUUACAAUGUGAUCAGAUGUUGUGCAUUUAUAUUAAACCUUUACUAUGUGAUCAGAUGUUGUGCAUUUAUAUUAAACCUUUACAAUGUGAUCAGAUGUUGUGCAAUUAUAUUAAACCUUUACAAUGUGAUCAGAUGUUGUGCAUUUAUAUUAAACCUUUACAAUGUGAUCAGAUGUUGUGCAUUUAUAUUAAACCUUUACAAUGUGAUCAGCUGUUACCUGUCAUGCAGUUAUAUUGAACAUUUACUAUGUGAUCAGCUGUAACCUGCCAUGCAGUUAUAUAAACCCUUACAGUGUGAUCAGAUAUUAUCUGUAAGGAAUUUCUUAAACCAUAUGUGAGCUUUGUAGAUUCCACUUAAAAGGAUUUAAGUCUCCUGAUUUGAAGGAUGUUGGCAAGUUUGCAAAUGAAUUGUAUCAUGGUACCACAUAAAAACGAAAUAGUUAUUGGACUGGCUAAGGUGCACAUUUGCUAUAAAAAAGACGAAAUCACUGUGUAAAUAUUGGUAGACAUACUUUUAAUAAUUUUCAAUGCUGCUCCAUCAACUCCUGACAGGACGAGGUAAUUAAAUAUGCCAGGUUACUUGCCGCGGCCGCUUCAUAUCGUCUAACCACGAGACGAUUGAUGGGACAAUAUAAGACUAUCCGAGCGUCGUAUGAAGUUUUAACCGUGCUCCUAAUUUAAAACAUUUACAGCUGUAGCGAUAUUUGUCAUUUCGCUAAAGUUAUAGUGAACUACAAACAAUCUUCUAACCACCAAACUAACCACCGAAUGCACUGUGCCAUAUUAGCAGCGGAAGUCGGUUGACAAAAUGCGGAAGAGCGAAGAAUUAAAAAGGGGCGUGGCGGAAUAAGGUGAAUAGCCUAAUAUAUAUGCAGUUCAACCCGCUAAAAUAGCAAGUGCAGCAUGCUACUGGUCAGUGCUUUACAUCUGAAUUAUGACUAAAAGUUUGAAAUGUCAGAAAACCAUGCUGUUACGCAUCCUCAAGCUAUUUUUAGUGGGUAUACGGAAAUCCUUGACAAUUUCUAGUGGGUACACGGCGUAUACCUGCGUAUCACGUAGACUACACCACUGCUUAUAACAAAAAACUGAAUAAUGCCUUAAAGCUAUAUGUGACAAUGUGUACAGCUAACAAGCAAAAGAACCCAGAAAUAAGUUUUUAUAAGCUGUCGAGCCGUAAAACCCAGUCUUUAAAGAGUAACUAAACCCUAAUCCAACUUUUUUUAGUUACUGAUCUGUAAGAAUGAUGCUUUAUUAGUGCUGUUCAUUGAUUUUAGUAAGUUUUUUGACAUUUGGAUAUAAAGUGUUUCAAUACUGCAAUAUAUGGUGUAAAAACGUCUGAGUGCUGCCCUCUUCAGGUUAAACGGUGGCUACUGCAGUUGAAUUUUCCUAUUGGAUGUUGGGUCCAAAAAAUGACUCGUGAUGUAAGCAGAUUCAAGCUCACCACGCCCUUGUUACGAUCUCACCACACACUUGGUACGAGCUUAGUUCGUCCCCUCUAUCUCUGUUGGGAUCUGCCCACUUUUCUUGCAUUUUUCAAAUAUUGCCAGUGGGUGGAGUCAGGCUCUGACCAGGGGUUUAGUUACGCUUUAA